rnacentral:rRNA from 1 species
AUACGGAGGAUGCGAGCGUUAUCCGGAUUUAUUGGGCUUAAAGGGCGCGUAGGUGGGAUAUUAAGUCAGCUGUGAAAGUUUGGGGCUCAACCUUAGAAUUGCAGUUGAUACUGGUUUCCUUGAGUACGGUACAGGUGGGCGGAAUUCGUGGUGUAGCGGUGAAAUGCUUAGAUAUCACGAAGAACUCCGAUCGCGAAGGCGGCUCGCCGGGCCGGAACUGACACUGAUGCUCGAAAGUGCGGGUAUCAAACAGGAUUAGAUACCCUGGUAGUCCGCACAGUAAACGAUGAAUACUCGCUGUUUGCGAUACACUGUAAGCGGUCAAGCGAAAGCGUUAAGUAUUCCACCUGGGGAGUACGCCGGCAACGGUGAAACUCAAAGGAAUUGACGGGG